UGGCGGCUGUAGCGCGGUGGUCCCACCUGACCCCAUGCCGAACUCAGAAGUGAAACGCCGUAGCGCCGAUGGUAGUGUGGGGUCUCCCCAUGCGAGAGUAGGGAACUGCCAGGCAUC
rnacentral:rRNA from 1 species